UAUGAUAGAUUGAUGAGAGAAUAGGUUAUAUAUGAUCGGUGCAAUAUCGGAUGGAUAAAAACAUCUGUAUCUUAUUCCUCAUAGCUCUUCUUAGCUUUUCAACGCAGUCUGGUCACCUUUCUUGCUAUUUCUAUAGAAAAGACCGAAGAAAAGCAGCGCAUGAGGAGCAGAAGAGCAAAGAAAUGGGAGUUUGUUUUAAAAGAAACCAUUUUCCUCUUCUCUCUCUUUAUUAGAACUAGGAUCUAGUAUAGAAACAAAGAGUGCAGAUAUUCCCAAAAGUGGUGCAUACAUAUAAAUUUUAAAUUAAUGGAAAAUGGCAAUAUAGUUCACACUAAAUCAGGUAAAAAAGUUUGAUCCAUGGCCAAUGUGGCACAUCAUUAUUUCAGCUCACCAGAAAAAAAAAAAAAAACUAGAUCACGAUAAAUGGAUGGUCUUAAAUUCAAUUAGCUCCAAACGGUCAUCUUCAUAAGCCUUCUUCGUUUGAUCAGGAACAAAAAUCAUAUGGGGCUGGUACUAUGAAAAGCAAUGUGUUACGAACUUUUGAUUUUAUCAUCUCUUCCUAAGUACCAAUCUUAUAGAAGAAACAUAAAAGUGAAAGAUACUUUUUACUAAGAGUUGUUAGUCUUAUAAUUAAAAAAAAAGUAUGAUAUUUUUUUUUAUUUUCAAAAUAUAUUUUUUACUGAUAUAUAUUACAUAGCUAGAUAAUAUACAUCGAAAAAAUUAAUUAGCUAAAAAUUUAAUAUAUAUCUUUAAAUAAAUAGAUAUAUAGUUUUCAAAAUAUAAGAAUCAUUAAUAAAUAGUACACGAUCAAGUAAUACAUAUCAAAUAAAAUAAUCAUCAAGCAAGUUAGUACACACAUUUAAGUAAAUCAAUAUAUAGUUUUCAGAAUAUAUAAUUCAUCAAUAGAUAGUAUACGGCUAGAUGAUAUAUAAUUUUCGAAAUAUCAAUAGAUAGUUCAUCAAUGUAUAUCUUCAAGCAAAUUGAUAUAUAAUUUUUGAAACAUCAUAUUCGCUAAUAUAUAUUAUAUAGCUAUAUGAUAAAUACUCAUCAACUUUCUGAUACAUAUUGUAUAUUUCUUUGAAACACACUCAAUACUAAUCCAAUAUACCUCCAAAUAAAAAAUGUAUUCUAGAAAUAAUAUAUCAAUUUAUUAGAAAGUAUGAUUAGAUUACUAUUGGAUGUAUAUCAAAAAAUCUUACAGUAUGUAUUAGGAAGUCGAUCGGUAUGUAUCACUAAACGAUAUAGUAUAUCUUAAUAAACAUAAUGUUCUGAACACUGUGUAUGAAUUUACUUGAAGAGGUAUAUUGGAUUGUUAUUGUUAGAUAACUAAUUUGCUAAAUGUGUAUCAUCUAGUCAUUAGCUGUAUAUCGAUGAACUUCAUGUUUUGGAAACUAUAUAUUGAUUUAUCUAAAGGUAUAUAUUAAUUUGUUAGAUGGUUAAUUUGUUUGGUGUAUAUUAUUUGGCUAUGUAAUAUGUAUUGAUAAAAAAUAUGUUCUAAAAGUAAGGAAAGAAAAUAUUAUAUUUUUUUAAUUGUAAGACUAAUGGCUCCAUUAGUAAAGAAAAUACCUUUAACUUUUAUGUUCCUUCUUUAAGAUAGGCACUUGGGAAGAUAUGACAAAUCAGAAGCCUGUAUCAUAUUUCUUUUUGUGGUGCCCACCUCAUGUGAUUUUUAUUCUUUGAUCAGUGUACGCUAUCCCUUGUAGGGAUGCAAAUAGAUUGGAUUGGAUUAGACCAUGAGUGACCUUAAUCUGAUCCAGUUCUUUGAUUGGAUCCUGAUAUUGGAUACAGAUCUAUAAAAGAUUAGAUCUGAUUAGAUCUGAUCCACGAUCAAAAUUUUUGACUCAACGGAUCAUUUAUGUCGGGUCGAAUCCAUGUAUAAUUCAGUCCUAAUCUGAAGAAUUUAUAUCUGGAUUAGGUCUGGGUCAAAUAUAGCCGCCUGCAUUUUAAUUACCAUAUAAACCAACUACUAUUAACCACACAAAAUAUAUAAUAUAUAAUAUUUCUUUCAAAAUAAAUUAAAAUAUAAAAAUAAUUACGAAUCUAUCUUUAUGUUAAAGAUAAUAUUCAUACAAGUCUUAAAUUAUAACUUAGAAGCUCUAACAAGUUCAGGUCCUAACGGUAUCCUGAAUUUGGGUUGGGUCCAAAAUCAGUAAAUUCAUGUCUGAUUCAAAAAUAAAAUGAAUCUAAUUUUAAAAUUUGAUUUGAUUUUAUAAGUUUAUUAAAAUAAAUCAGAUUGGAUCUAAACCAGUCAUGGAUCCGAACUAUUUGCAGUGUUAUUCGCUCGCAACUCCAGAGAGAGAGAGAGACAAAAAAAAAAGGGGUGGGGGGGCGAGGGGGGAGAAAUUGUCCUCUUCACCGUUGCUUCCACGCUCUCUUCCUUGCCAAGCUCCUCCGCAGGCUCCCUCUCAUUAAGGUGGAACUUUAGCUAAACCUACAUUUCUCUCUUGGGCCCGGACCAUCCUGUCAUUGACCAACUUUUUAUUAUGCCAUAAAAUCUCUUGACCUCCAUGACAUUGUCUCUCUUGCCCUCCACUCCCGCCGCUAACUCAGCUGUGGAUGAAAAUAGCAUGGAUAAUAUCCAUCCAAUCUAAUUAUGGAGAGAAAUUUAAGGAUACAAAAAUAUUCAUAUAUAUAUAUAUAUCAAAUUCGUAAUCAAAUAUAUAAAUUUAUCUAUAAUUUUAUAUAAUAUUUAUUAUUUUUUUAAAAAAUAUACAAUCAUAUAAAUAUUUUAUUAAAUUAAUUUAGCAUCUAUUUAGCAAUAUGUUUAAUUCUAUUAUCAUAAAAUUUAAUUAUCCAUUCUAUAUUCAUAAUUACAUAUAUACUUAUGAUAUCCAAAUUAUAUCCGUAUCUAUUUAAAAUAAAUAUAAAUUUUUGCAUUUGAAUAAUAUCCGAUCCAUAUUUGUAUUCGUUAGGCAAAACAAAUAUGGAUAUGAAUAUACUGAUAUAUGAUUCGUAUCUGAUCCACUUUCAGCCCUAAACUCAAUCAUGCCUUCCUUGUUGCCUUUGUCGUCUUCUCUUUUCGUCUUCUCUUGCCAAUGCAUUAUGAUCUAGGUCUUAUCCACUUGAGAUAACUUAUGUAUAGAGAUGUAAAAAGCUUGACUACAAGGUAUUAUUUUCUUUUUCAAAAAACAAAAGCAAUGUAAAAUUGAAGAAACAAUUGGUGUUAAAACAGACUUUGUGAUGGUAAAAGCAUUUAGAAUAAUGUCAAAAUAAUGUUAAAAUAGACUUUGUGAUGUUGAAAACUUUUGUAAUGGUGUUUAAAGUAGACUUUUGUGAUGGUGCUAAGAUAAACUUUGCGAUGGUGUUAAAAUAGAGUUUUGUGACGGUGAAAAGUUUCAGAAUAAUGUUAAAACAGACUUUGUGAUCGUGUUAAAAUAGACUUUGUGAUGCUGAAAACUUUCAGAACAAUAUCAGACAUGGUUAAAAUAAAUUUUGUGAUGGUGAAAACUUUUGUGAGGUGUUAAAAUAGACUUUUGUGCUGGUGUUAAAAUAGACUUUGUGAUAGUGAAAACUUUCAGAAUAAUAUCAGUUAUCGUUAAAAUAAACUUUGUGAUGGUGAAAAUUUCAUGAUGAUGUCAAAAUACACUUUUGUGGUAGUGUUAAAAUAGAUUUUGUGACAAUGAAAACUUUCAGAAUAAUGUUACAAUAGACUUUAUGAUGGUGUUAAGAUGGACUUUAUGAUGAUGAAAACUUUCAAAAUAAUGUCAGAUACCGUUUUUCUGGAUAGCACUACCUCUGCUGCGGGGUCUUAACUUGUGGAGGGAUAAUUUCAACGUUAGGUGAGGACAUUGACAUUAUCACACUAUCAUUAUAAACAAAUGUAAUGGUUUGUAAUUAACAAAGUCUUUCCAAUAUAGGUAUAGUAUCAAAAUUGGGCGAGGACAGUUUGGCAAUUUAAUGUUGUUCAUACUGAAAUAUAUUAAAUAUUUAAUCAUAGUAUUUCUACAUCUAUCCACGAGCCCAUAAAAAAUCAAUCUAUUUAAAGAAAAGAUUUUAUAAUUCCUCCAUUUCGUUGCUAUAUGCUAUAAGGUUGCAAAAAAUUAUUGGCUUGUAUCCUAUUGGGGAUAUAAAUUGAACUCUAGGGUUUUGAAAAUUCAUUUUUGCUCAGGGAGAGUUUGUAUCCUAGAUCUUUCAUUUCACAUACAUAUUUUUUUUAAGAAACUCCCAUUACUCAUAAAUACUCUUCACUUUCUCCUUUCUUUUAAAUUUGCUACCUCUAAUAGAAGCAUACUUGCCAAAAAAUAUAAGAAAAGGAACUUUAAAGAAAAAAAAAAAAACUUCAUCGAUAAUAAAACAUAAGUUUGAUCAAACAGGGUAUCGGAGUUAACCAUGCUUCUCUUUCACUGCAUAGGCUAAAUGCUACUUCAUGAUAAUCAUAAGGAUCAUAUCAAUCGUCUUGGAACAGUUCCUAUAAGACUACAUGUGUUUGUGUUGGGGAAUGUGGAUGAUGAAUCAGGGUGUGCCUAUGUAACUGAAUAUAAAAUUAUAGGCUGUUUCUUGAAGUUAUUAGGGUUCCUGAAAUUGGAAAUCACUGGCAUUCUCGCAUUGCUUACAUUGUAGGCAUAUGCAGGCAUCAUGGCUGUCAUAUUAUUGUUAUACAGUAGUUGUAACAAAGUUUAUUCAACAACAAUGCCUUUACCCGAAGUAAUAGCUUUCAUCUAUAUCAGUUUUUUGAAAAAAUAACGGAUAAUUAUAUGAGUACCGAUAUUUAUGGUCUCAUGAUAUAAGCUUGUAGAGUCAUAUACCAUUAUAUGACGAGUAAUUUUUGGUACACCGUGUGCGGUGUAAUAGGAGUUAUUUUGGCCGAUUGAUCUUCUAAUAUACUAGUUUCAACAAUUCUCAUUUCUUACAUUUCUUCUUGGCUGUUUGGCCUGUAGUAAGUAUCUGGUUCACUGCUUUAAGUAUUAGUACUAUGACUUUUAACCUAAAUGAUUUCAAUUCAACCAAUCUGUAGUUGACCGUCAGAGUUGUGUUAUCAAUACUUGGACUGAUAUCAUCAAUUGCGCUAAUCUUGGUAUGGAAGUAAUGCAUGAACGUAAUGCUCACAACUUCUCUCUAGACCUAGCUGCUGUCGAAGUUUCAUCUACAAAUGGAGUGCACUAUCCAAUAAUAUUGGAGCACAUAGCGUCUUAAAUGGGAUAAACAUUUAAUAUCAUUCAGUUUUUUUUUCUUCAAUUUUUAGUGACAAAAAUAUCCUUUUCUCCAUAGAGUAAAGAAAAAAAAUAGUAUUAUUACUUCUUGAUAUCUUAUAUGACUUUUUAUAAAUAUAUAUGACAUCCUGAAUAAUAUAUAUAAUUUUUUAUAUCUUUAUGACAUCCUAAAUAAUAUAUAUAACUUCCUCAUGUCUUGUAUGACUUUUUGUGAAUAUAUAUGAUAUCUUGAACAAUAUAUAUAACUUUCUGUGAAUAUAUAUGAUAUUCUGAAUAAUAUAUAUGGCUUCUUAAUAUCUUACAUAAUUUUCUGUGAAUAUAUAUAACAUCCUGAAUAAUAUAUAUAACUUCCUGUAAAUAUAUAUGACAUCCUGAACAAUAUGUAUGGCUUUCUGUAAAUAUACAUGACAUCCUGAACAAUAUAUAUAGCUUCUUAAUACAUUAUAUAAUUUUCUGUGAAUAUAUAUGAUAUCCUGAAUAAUAUAUAUGACUUUCUAACACCUUAUAUGAUUUCUUGUAAAUAUAUAUGACUUUUUGAAUAAUAUAUAUAACUUUAAAUCAUAUAUAUUAUUCAAGAUAUCAUAUAUGUAUUUACAGAAAAUUAUAUAUAUUAUUUAGGAUGUCAUAUAUAUUGAUAAGAAGUCAUAUAAAAUAUUAAAAAAUUAUAUAUAUUAUUUAGGAUAUCAUAUAUAUUCACAGAAAGUCAUAUAUAUUAUUCAGGAUGUCAUAUAUAUUCACAAGAAGUCAUAUAAAGCAUCAGGAAGCCAUAUAUAUUAUUCAGGAUAUCAAAAAUACAUAGGAAGUCAUAUAUAUGAUUCAGGACGUCAUAUAUAUUCAUAAAAAUUCAUACAAGAUAUCAGGAAGUAAUAAUAUUAUUCUUUUUUUUAUUCUAUGGAGGAAAUGAUAUUUUUAUUAUUGAAAAUUAGAGAAAAAAAUUGAGCAGCAUUAAAUGUCUGUUCCAUCAUUAAGUACAUUAUGUGCUCCAAUAUGAUUGGACGGUACACUUCAUGUUAAUUUUAUUUAACACAUGCGGUGCACAAAGACUUUCUCUGACUCUUCACAACGACGAUUUUCAUUUUCAUUUUUUGUUUUCAAAUUUAAAUGGCUUGUGGUUAUACCACUCUCCAAAUAAGACUAAAAGUAGAUCAAAUACGAACCAGAUAUCAGUAUAUCCAUAUCCAUAUUUAUUUUAUUUGAUAAAUAUAAAUACGGAUAUGGAUAUUAUUCGAAUACAAAAAUUUAUCCAUAUUUGUUUUAGAUGGAUAUGGAUAUAAUUUGGAUACGAAAAAUAUGGAUAUAAUUAUAAAUAUAAGUUAGAUAAUUAAAUUUUAUUACAAUAUAAUUAAAGAUAUUAGUAUAUAGAUGAUAAAUCAAGUUAAUAGCAUGUUUAUAUAGUAGUCAUGUUUUUUUUAAAAAUUAGUAAGUAUUAUAUAAAAUUAUAUAAAAUUACAGAUAGAUUUGGAUAUUUGGAUGCGGAUUGGAUAGUUGUCUAUUCAUAUUGAUAUUUAUUUUUCUUUGAUGGAUAUGGAUACGGAUAUGAAUAUUAGUCGGAUCCUCAAAUUUUUAUUCAUAUUUGAAUUGACUAGAAUAUGAAAAUGAAUCCGGAUGGAUAUUGUCCAUGCCACUUCCACUCAUUUCUUGGUGAUCUUGGUACGGAGGUUCUGGGCAAGAAUUUUGAGUUGCAUCCUUAAGAUAUUAUCAUCCGAAUAGUUUAUCUUGACAAGAUCUUCAUCACCUUUUUCUCCUUUAUAAAUACUAAUAUUAGUCAUCGAACUUUAGUUCAAAUGAUACGCCCCUUGCCAUUUUGGAAAGGAGGGCUGGGGGUCGGAUUCUGAAGGCCGGUGCCUCUCAAUUUGGCUCCCAUGACGCUGAGCUGAUUCGUGAGCGCUAGGUUCAGACUGCCUGGUGGCUCGGGCUUCAAUCCAGCUAGAGUGGGGUUGGGUGGAAGGUGGGUUCGUGAGAGAGCUGACGGUAGAGGAGAUGCCAUGAGGGAGCGGAUGCUUUGAAGCUUUGUUUUUUUUAAAAAAAAAAAAAUGGAAGAAUCUCUACCAACCUAUAUUUGGUUAGGAUUAUGAUAUGAACGAUGGAUGGAGCUGGUAAGAUGAAUAGUUUCUAUCUAUAAUUUAAUUAAAAAAAUUUUAUGAAUGAUAAAUAAAAAAGAAAAAUUAUUUAUCCAUCAUAAUCUAUUAAUUUAUAUUUUUUUAAAUAUUAAAGAUGGGUGGUGCAUGUAAGUUGAAUUUUUAAGUUGAUAAAAUUAUUUUUAUUAAUUUUUUUAUUUUUUAUAUUUAUAUUAAAAAUAAUUUAAUAAAAAUACCACACGAGGAAUGAAAUUGUUUCUGCCAAUCCUUCCGUAGGACGUGGCUCGCAUGUGGAUGUGAUUUAGGUCUGAAAAGACCUGCCCUCCGCUGUCGAUCGCUCUCUCCACACCCGAGGAGACGAGCUCCGCUGCUUCGUGCUCCGCUAUUCUCCGCUUGGAUCAGUGGCAGGCCACCAACGCAGAAGCAGCUUUACAUGUCAAAAUAUCCAUUUUACUCCACUAAUAAUUGAAAUGAGUGAGUUAAAUUGAAAUAGUGGAAUGGAAAAGCUUUUUUUCAUUUUUUUCCCUCCUCUAAUAUGCAGGUAAAUGCAGCAUAAAAGUUUUUAUUAUAAAAUUUUAAUAAUUUAUUUUUUAAAAAAUGAGUUUUUUUCCUUGUCUAUGGCAUUAUCAUUAUUAUUUUUUCCCUUAUUCAUCUCCCAUACACGUCGCUGCUCCAGCUGCGGUUCUCGAAUCCAGUUUAUAUAGUGAGUUUAUAUAGUGAGAGACCCAACUCGCAACAUGUCUUUGCACAAUCCUCGUCUAAAAUCACGGAAAAAAACCAUCGACAGGAAGUCUAGUAUUCGAUCGACAGUCCAACUUCUAUCAUGGUCAUCCAGGGGAAUCUACAAUGCCUGGCUCAAACAUUAAAACAGUUCUUUGUUUUCGGUUUCUGAUCAUAUUCGCAUAUACUUGGGAUUGUCUGUUAGUUUUGCCUCAAAUCUUACCAAGCUACCUUCGUCAUCUCCACUACUCUGAAGCUGGAGUCUUGUCUUCGUAGUCUGUUUUUGGCUGUUAUUCUAGUAAUUCCUUAUUUAGCUGUCGUUUUUGUUGUGACUUGUGAUCCAGAGUGCUGUGAAAACUUCGUGCGCAAUAUGCUGUGUCUUUCGUUAUUCCCAUAGUUCUUCUGCUCCCACUGUUUUACCAAAAAAGACAAAAGAAGAAAAAAAGACCAAAAAAAAAAAAAAAAAAGGGAAAAGAAGAAGAAAGGGGCAGCGUUGACAGCGUGAAGGUAGAGGCAGAAUUGUCCUGUGCUUGCGUCCCAAGAGGGACAUUAUUGCUUGGAUCCUUAUCGAUGUCUCUGUCUG
rnacentral:lncRNA from 1 species